GGCGAGUGAAGCGGCAAAAGCUCAAAUUUGAAAUCUGGUACCUUCGGUGCCCGAGUUGUAAUUUGGAGAGGGCAACUUUGGGGCCGUUCCUUGUCUAUGUUCCUUGGAACAGGACGUCAUAGAGGGUGAGAAUCCCGUGUGGCGAGGAGUGCGGUUCUUUGUAAAGUGCCUUCGAAGAGUCGAGUUGUUUGGGAAUGCAGCUCUAAGUGGGUGGUAAAUUCCAUCUAAAGCUAAAUAUUGGCGAGAGACCGAUAGCGAACAAGUACAGUGAUGGAAAGAUGAAAAGAACUUUGAAAAGAGAGUGAAAAAGUACGUGAAAUUGUUGAAAGGGAAGGGCAUUUGAUCAGACAUGGUGUUUUGUGCCCUCUGCUCCUUGUGGGUAGGGGAAUCUCGCAUUUCACUGGGCCAGCAUCAGUUUUGGUGGCAGGAUAAAUCCAUAGGAAUGUAGCUUGCCUCGGUAAGUAUUAUAGCCUGUGGGAAUACUGCCAGCUGGGACUGAGGACUGCGACGUAAGUCAAGGAUGCUGGCAUAAUGGUUAUAUGCCGCCCGU
rnacentral:rRNA from 1 species